AGGAUAAACGCUGGCGGCGUGCCUAACACAUGCAAGUCGAACGCGCUUUCGGGCUUCGGUGCGAGAGCGAGUGGCGGACGGGUGAGUAACACAUGGGUACCUACCUUGGAGUGAGGGAUACCGGCGAGAAAUCGCCGACAAUACCGCAUAGGCUUCUUCACAAGGGAAGCAAAGUGACGCGAGUCACGCUGUGAGAUGGGCCUGUGGCCGAUUAGCUAGUUGGGGGGGUAACGGCUUCCCAAGGCGACGAUCGGUAGCUGGUCUGAGAGGACGAUCAGCCACACUGGGAUUGAGAACGGCCCAGACUCCUACGGGGGGCAGCAGUGAGGAAUUUUCCGCAAUGGAGGCAACUCUGACGGAGCAACGCCGCGUGCAGGAGGAGGUUUUCGGAUCGUAAACUGCUUUUCGUCGGGGACGAGCAAGGACGGUACCCGAGGAACGAAGCCCCGGCUAACGUACGUGCCAGCAGCCGC
rnacentral:rRNA from 1 species